GGUCGGUUAGCUCAGUUGGUUAGAGCGUCGUACUAAUACAGUAUUACACUGUACUAAGUAAUGCGAAGGUCAUGAGUUCGACCCUCAUACUGACCA
rnacentral:tRNA from 1 species